UACGUAGGGCGCAAGCGUUGUCCGGAAUUAUUGGGCGUAAAGAGCUCGUAGGCGGUUUGUCGCGUCUGUCGUGAAAGCCCACGGCUUAACUGUGGGUCUGCGGUGGAUACGGGCAGACUUGAGGCAGGUAGGGGAGCAUGGAAUUCCCGGUGUAGCGGUGAAAUGCGCAGAUAUCAGGAGGAACACCGGUGGCGAAGGCGGGUCUCUGGGCCGAUAUCGACGCUGAGGAGCGAAAGCGUGGGGAGCGAACAGG
rnacentral:rRNA from 1 species